CGCUGGCGGCGUGCUUACACAUGCAAGUCGAGUGCGCGGUUGUAGCAAUACAACUGGCGCACGGCGCACGGGUGCGUAACACGUGGGCAAUCUGCCCUCCGAUGGGGAAUAACUCCGGGAAACCGAAGCUAAUUCCGCAUAACAUUCCCUGGACUCCGGUUUGGGGAAUCAAAGCAGUGAUGCGUCGGAGGAGGAGCCCGCGCCCGAUUAGCUAGUUGGCAGGGUAACGGCCUACCAAGGCAAUGAUCGGUAGCUGGUCUGAGAGGAUGGCCAGCCACACUGGAACUGAGACACGGUCCAGACUCCUACGGGAGGCAGCAGUGGGGAAUCUUGCGCAAUGGGCGAAAGCCUGACGCAGCGACGCCGCGUGGGGGAUGAAGCUUCUCGGAGUGUAAACCCCUUUCGACUGGGACGAAUGCCCGCAAGGGAGUGACGGUACCAGUAGAAGAAGCCCCGGCUAACUACGUGCCAGCAGCCGCGGUAAGACGUAGGGGGCCAGCGUUGUUCGGAAUUACUGGGUGUAAAGGGUUCGUACGCGGUGUGGCAAGUCGGGAGUGAAAUUUCUGGGCUUAACUCAGAAGCUGCUUCCGAAACUGCUGUGCUUGAGUGUGGGAGAGGCGC
rnacentral:rRNA from 1 species